GACGAACGCUGGCGGCGUGCUUGACACAUGCAAGUCGAACGGAAAGGCCUGCUUUCCCUUGUGGAUUGCGGGUACUCGAGUGGCGAACGGGUGAGUAACACGUGAGUGAUCUGCCCCCAACUUGGGUAUAAGCCUGGGAAACUGGGUCUAAUUCCCGAUAGGACUGCAGGGUGGUGCCCGUGGUGGAAAACGAUUUUCUAGUGGUUGGGGAUGAGCUCGCGGCCUAUCAGCUUGUUGGUGGGGUAAUGGCCUACCAAGGCGGCGACGGGUAGCCGGCCUGAGAGGGUGGACGGCCACAUUGGGACUGAGAUACGGCCCAGACUCCUACGGGAGGCAGCAGUGGGGAAUAUUGCACAAUGGGCGGAAGCCUGAUGCAGCGACGCCGCGUGGGGGAUGACGGCCUUCGGGUUGUAAACUCCUUUCGACCGCGAGGAAGCCACCUGGUUGGAAGGGUGGUGACGGUAGUGGUAGAAGAAGCACCGGCUAACUACGUG
rnacentral:rRNA from 1 species